GACGAACGCUGGCGGCGUGCUUAACACAUGCAAGUCGAACGGAAAGGCCCUGCUUUUGUGGGGUGCUCGAGUGGCGAACGGGUGAGUAACACGUGAGUAACCUGCCCUUGACUUUGGGAUAACUUCAGGAAACUGGGGCUAAUACCGGAUAGGAGCUCCUGCUGCAUGGUGGGGGUUGGAAAGUUUCGGCGUUUGGGGAUGGACUCGCGGCUUAUCAGCUUGUUGGUGAGGUAGUGUCUUACCAAGGCUUUGACGGGUAGCCGGCCUGAGAGGGUGACCGGGCACAUUGGGACUGAGAUACGGCCCAGACUCCUACGGGCGGCAGCAGUGGGGAAUAUUGCACAAUGGGCGGAAGCAUGAUGCAGCAACGCCGCGUGCGGGAUGACGGCCUUCGGGUUGUAAACCGCUUUCGCCUGUGACGAAGCGUGAGUGACGGUAAUGGGUAAAGAAGCACCGGCUAACUACGUG
rnacentral:rRNA from 1 species